GUUGAACGCUGGCGGCGGGCCUAACACAUGCAAGUCGAGCGGAUAAAGGGAGCUUUCUCCUGGUUUCAGCGUCGGGCGGGUGAGUGAUGCCCAGGAAUCUGCCUGCCAUGGGUGGAUGACGUCCGUAAACGGGCGCGGAUACCACAUGCGUCCAGAUGUAGAAAGGUGGGGAUCGUUGGAACUAUCGCUCUCUGAUGACCCUAGGCCGGAUUCGCUAGCUGGUGGGGUAAAGGCCUACCAAGGCGACGAUCCGUAACUAGUCUGCGUGGAUGAUCAGUCACACUGGAACUGAGACACGGUCCAGACUCCUACGGGAGGCAGCAGUGGGGAAUAUUAGGCAAUGGGCGAAAGCCUGACGCAGCGAGGCCGCGUGUGUGAAGAAGGUCUUCGGAUUGUAAAGCCCUUUUAGUUGGGAGGAACGGCAGUAGGUUAAUACGUUGCUGUAUUGACGGUACCAACAGAAUAAGCACCGGCUAACUACGUG
rnacentral:rRNA from 1 species